UGAAAUGCCAGUUCCUGUAUGAUCAGUGAAGUUAAGCAACAUUGAGCCUGGUCAUAAUUAGAUGGGUGACUGCUUGGGAAUACCAGGUGCUGUAAG